rnacentral:rRNA from 1 species
AGCAGUAGCCACGGGAAUACGUAUGGGGCGAGCGUUGUCCGGAAUUAUUGGGCGUAAAGGGUACGUAGGCGGUUUUCUAAGUCAGGUGUGAAAGCGUGAGGCUUAACCUCAUUAAGCACUUGAAACUGGAAGACUUGAGUGAAGGAGAGGAAAGUGGAAUUCCUAGUGUAGCGGUGAAAUGCGUAGAUAUUAGGAGGAAUACCGGUGGCGAAGGCGACUUUCUGGACUUUUACUGACGCUCAGGUACGAAAGCGUGGGGAGCAAACAGGAUUAGAGACCCCGGUAGUCCCUGUCUCUUAUACA